rnacentral:rRNA from 1 species
GUGGGGAAUUUUGGACAAUGGGCGAAAGCCUGAUCCAGCCAUGCCGCGUGCAGGAUGAAGGCCUUCGGGUUGUAAACUGCUUUUGUACGGAACGAAAAGACUCCUUCUAAUAAAGGGGGUCCAUGACGGUACCGUAAGAAUAAGCACCGGCUAACUACGUGCCAGCAGCCGCGGUAAUACGUAGGGUGCAAGCGUUAAUCGGAAUUACUGGGCGUAAAGCGUGCGCAGGCGGUUAUAUAAGACAGAUGUGAAAUCCCCGGGCUCAACCUGGGAAUUGCGCUUGUGACUGCAAGGCUGGAGUGCGGCAGAGGGGGAGGGAAUUCCGCGUGUAGCAGUGAAAUGCGUAGAUAUGCGGAGGAACACCGAUGGCGAAGGCAAUCCCCUGGGCCUGCACUGACGCUCAUGCACGAAAGCGUGGGGAGCAAACAGGAUUAGAUACCCUUGUAGUCC